GCUCGAGUGGCGAACGGGUGAGUAACACGUGAGUAACCUGCCCUUGACUUUGGGAUAACUUCAGGAAACUGGGGCUAAUACCGGAUAGGAGCUCCUGCUGCAUGGUGGGGGUUGGAAAGUUUCGGCGGUUGGGGAUGGACUCGCGGCUUAUCAGCUUAUUGGUGGGGUAGUGGCUUACCAAGGCUUUGACGGGUAGCCGGCCUGAGAGGGUGACCGGCAACAUUGGGACUGAGAUACGGCCCAG
rnacentral:rRNA from 1 species